CACAUAUCUCUGUCUAUGUGCACAUACCCUCUCCCUCACACACAUAUCUCUGUCUAUGUGCACAUACCCUCUCCCUCACACACAUAUCUGUCUGUAUGCAUGUGCACAUACCCUCUCCCUCACACAUAUCUCUGUCUAUGUGCACAUACCCUCUCCCUCACACAUAUCUCUGUCUGUAUGCAUGUGCACAUACCCUUUCCCACACACACCCUUAAGGUGGUUGUUCUGGGGUUACAUUAAGGGUUUUGUGUGUGCUAGACAGUUCCUUACCACUGAGCCACAGUCACCCCAUACACUUCCAUGUUUGCUGAUGCCCCUUGAGCAACUUCUGUGUGAUUAUAUUAAAUAUCUAGUAUUUAAUACAUACUUUAAUCAAUUAACCUGAUUAUAAUUACUAUUUAAAGUUCACUGAACACAUAGGGAUU
rnacentral:lncRNA from 1 species